rnacentral:tRNA from 1 species
GUCGAGAUGGCCGAGUGGUUAAGGCGUUGGACUUGAAAUCCAAUGGGGUUUCCCCGCGCACGUUCGAACUCUGCUCUCGACG